rnacentral:rRNA from 1 species
AACGAACGCUGGCGGCAGGCCUAACACAUGCAAGUCGAGCGAGGACUUCGGUUCUAGCGGCGGACGGGUGAGUAACGCGUGGGAAUGUGCCCUUCUCUACGGAAUAGCUCUGGGAAACUGGGAGUAAUACCGUAUACGCCCUAUUGGGGAAAGAUUUAUCGGAGAAGGAUCAGCCCGCGUUGGAUUAGGUAGUUGGUGGGGUAAUGGCCUACCAAGCCGACGAUGCAUAGCUGGUUUGAGAGGAUGAUCAGCCACACUGGGACUGAGACACGGCCCAGAAUCCUACGGGAGGCAGGAGUGGGGAAUCUUAGACAAUGGGGGCAACCCUGAUCGAGCCAUGCCGGGUGAGUGAUGAAGGCCUUAGGGUUGUAAUGCUCUUUCAGCUGGGAAGAUAAUGACGGUACCAGCAGAAGAAGCCCCGGCUAACUCCGUG